rnacentral:rRNA from 1 species
UACAGAGGUCCCAAGCGUUGUUCGGAUUCAUUGGGCGUAAAGGGUGCGUAGGUGGCGCCGUAAGUCGGGUGUGAAAUUUCGGAGCUUAACUCCGAAACUGCAUUCGAUACUGCGGUGCUUGAGGACUGGAGAGGAGACUGGAAUUCAUGGUGUAGCAGUGAAAUGCGUAGAUAUCUGCAGGAACACCCGUGGCGAAAGCGGCGCGCUGGACCACUACUGACGCUGAGGAACGAAAGCUAGGGGAGCAAACAGG